CCUACGGGUGGCAGCAGUGGGGAAUAUUGGACAAUGGGCGAAAGCCUGAUCCAGCCAUGCCGCGUGUGUGAAGAAGGCCUUCGGGUUGUAAAGCACUUUCAGUGGGGAAGAAAGCCUUGGGGCUAAUACCCUCGAGGAAGGACAUCACCCACAGAAGAAGCACCGGCUAACUCCGUGCCAGCAGCCGCGGUAAUACGGAGGGUGCGAGCGUUAAUCGGAAUUACUGGGCGUAAAGCGCGCGUAGGCGGUCUGAUAAGCCGGUUGUGAAAGCCCCGGGCUCAACCUGGGAACGGCAUCCGGAACUGUCAGGCUAGAGUGCAGGAGAGGAAGGUAGAAUUCCCGGUGUAGCGAUGAAAUGCGUAGAGAUCGGGAGGAAUACCAGUGGCGAAGGCGGCCUUCUGGACUGACACUGACGCUGAGGUGCGAAAGCGUGGGUAGCAAACAGGAUUAGAUACCCCUGUAGUC
rnacentral:rRNA from 1 species